rnacentral:rRNA from 1 species
UACAGAGGGGGCAAGCGUUGUUCGGAAUUACUGGGCGUAAAGGGCUCGUAGGCGGCCAACUAAGUCAGACGUGAAAUCCCCAGGCUCAACCUGGGAACUGCGUCUGAUACUGGAUGGCUUGAAUUCGGGAGAGGGAUGCAGAAUUCCAGGUGUAGCGGUGAAAUGCGUAGAUAUCUGGAGGAACACCGGUGGCGAAGGCGGCAUCCUGGACCAACAUUGACGCUGAGGAGCGAAAGCCAGGGGAGCAAACGGGG